UUGGGGAUAUUGCACAAUGGGGGAAACCCUGAUGCAGCAAUGCCGCGUGAGGGAAGACGGUCUUCGGAUUGUAAACCUAAGUUGUCAGGGACGAAAGAAAUGACGGUACCUGAAGAGAAAGCUCCGGCUAACUACGUGCCAGCAGCCGCGGUAAUACGUAGGGAGCGAGCGUUGUCCGGAUUUACUGGGUGUAAAGGGUGCGUAGGCGGGAUGGCAAGUCAGAUGUGAAAUACCGGGGCUUAACUCCGGGGCUGCAUUUGAAACUGUCGUUCUUGAGUGGAGUAGAGGCAGGCGGAAUUCCGAGUGUAGCGGUGAAAUGCGUAGAUAUUCGGAGGAACACCAGUGGCGAAGGCGGCCUGCUGGGCUCUAACUGACGCUGAGGCACGAAAGCAUGGGGAGCAAACAGG
rnacentral:rRNA from 1 species